GACGAACGCUGGCGGCGUGCCUAAUACAUGCAAGUCGAGCGGACUGACUGGGAGCUUGCUCUUGUUCGGUCAGCGGCGGACGGGUGAGUAACACGUGGGCAACCUGCCCGCAAGACCGGGAUAACUCCGGGAAACCGGAGCUAAUACCGGAUAACACCGAAGACCGCAUGGUCUUUGGUUGAAAGGCGGCGCAAGCUGCCACUUGCGGAUGGGCCCGCGGCGCAUUAGCUAGUUGGUGGGGGAACGGCUCACCCAGGCGACGAUGCGUAGCCGGCCAGAGGGGGGCGCGUGGCACGCCUGGACGGGGACACGGCCCAGACGCCUACGGGAGGCAGCAGAAAGGGAUCUUGCGCGAAGGGGGAAAGCCUGACGGAGCGACGGCGGGAGAGCGAAGAAGGCCCUCGGGGCGUAAAACGCUGUUGUGAGGGACGAAGGAGCGCCGUGUGAAGAAGGCGGCGCGGUGACGGUACCUCACGAGAAAGCCCCGGCUAACUACGGG
rnacentral:rRNA from 1 species